GCACCCAGGGUUGCCAGGGUUACAAAAAGAGGUGAAGGCUCCAGGAGGCGGCAGAAGUUGACGGACGGCAGCAUCGGCGGCAGGCGAGGGAAGAAACCAAUUGCGGAAGACUGCGCCGGAGGAAGUGGUUCGGAGGAAGAGGUCGGCGGUAAUCUUGGAGCGGAAGUAUUGCGACGCUUGGAUGAUGUCACGGGAGCCGGAAGAAGCAAGGGUGCCAGGUGUUACAAAAAGAGGACCACGAGGAAGCUGCUGAUCAUGGAGGGAAGAGCUGGCC